CCCACUAGCAGCAGACAAGAGGGUCGACUGCGCGAGCACUCCCAGUGAGGGAGCGCGGAAAACUGCGGUUGCGCAGACUAAAGUGCGCUCAGAGAGACGCAGGCCGAGCUACAGUGUGUCACCCACCCAGUAGGCAGGUCUUGGAGUUAAGUCAACAGGAGAAGAGUCGAGUGAGGUCACAGAUGAGAUUUCUGUGGAUUUAAUUCAUCGAGGGUAUGGCGUGCCCUUGGUGUUUCAGCAACCAAGAAUGGUACUCUUUCAGGAUGGGGCCGAG